AUACGGAGGGUCCGAGCGUUAUCCGGAAUCAUUGGGUUUAAAGGGUCCGUAGGCGGGAAUCUAAGUCAGUGGUGAAAUCUUGCAGCUCAACUGUAAAAUUGCCAUUGAUACUGGAUUUCUUGAAUUAGUGUGAAGUGGUUAGAAUGUGUAGUGUAGCGGUGAAAUGCAUAGAUAUUACACAGAAUACCAAUUGCGAAGGCAGAUCACUACCACUAUAUUGACGCUAAGGGACGAAAGCGUGGGGAGCGAACAGAAUUAGAAACCCUAGUAGUCC
rnacentral:rRNA from 1 species